rnacentral:lncRNA from 1 species
AGAUAUUUUUAUCAAUUUGAAAGGAAUAGACACAUUUAAGUUUUCAGUCUAUGUGUAUGUUUCUUAUAUUUAGACACGUGUUAAUCUCUCUGUUUUUCUCAGCAUGUUCUGGGGAAACUGAGAAUAUUUUAAAGAACUUGACCAAUGAGGAGGAGUUAAAGAACGUGACCAAUGAGAGGGACGAGUUCAUGCAGAAGAUGAAGCAUGCAUGUUCUGGGGGAACUGAGAAGAUUUUCAGGAAUGUGACCAUUGAGGAGGAGUUAAAAAAUGUGACAGAGAGGGACGAGCUCAAGCAGAAACUUGAACAAAAUGCAUUUUCUGGGGGAACUGAGAAGAUUUUCAGGAAUGUGUCCAUUGAGGAGGCGUUGAAAAAGGUGACCAAGGAGAGGGACGAGCUCAAGCAGAAACUUGAACAAUAUGGUGAGGGCAGAAAUUAAAAUAUUUUUUUACAAUUUUUUUUUUAUUGUUAACAACAAAUUUUCAAAUUGAUGUGUGUAACAAUGAAUCUCCAAAAGGCUGAGAAGAUUGAAACACCUCAACUUGUGCUCCUGAUACAAU